rnacentral:rRNA from 1 species
UUUAAGGUCUAACCUGCCCAAUGAGGAUUUAAAUGGCCGCAGUAUUUUGACUGUGCAAAGGUAGCAUAAUUAUUAGUUUUUUAAUUGAAAGCUUGUAUGAAGGGUUGGACGAGAUGAAAUCUGUCUUUAUUUAAAUUAAAAUAUAAUUUAACUUUUAAGUAAAAAGGCUUAAAUGUUUAUAAAAGACGAGAAGACCCUAUAGAUCUUUAUUUAAUUAAAAUUUUAAUAAUUUAGGAUUACUUUAAUUUAAAGUUUUAAUUAAAUUUUAUUGGGGUAAUAUAAAGAUUAAAUAAAUUCUUUUUAUUUAUAACAUUGAUUUAUGAAUAUAUGAUCCAUUAAUAUUGAUUAUAAGAUUAAGUUACCUUAGGGAUAACAGCGUAAUUUUUUUGGAGAGCUCAUAUCGAUAAAAAAGUUUGCGACCUCGAUGUUGGAUUAAAAAUUAGCUUGGGUGCAGAAGCUCAAGAUUUUGGUCUGUUCGACCAUUAAAUUUUUACAUGAUCUGAGUUCAGACCGGCGUGAGCCAGGUCGGUUUCUAUCUUUAUUAAGAUAAAAUGUUUUAGUACGAAAGGACCAAAUAUUUAAUAUAAUUAUAUUUAUUUUUUGAAGAAUAUU